rnacentral:rRNA from 1 species
UACGGAGGGUGCAAGCGUUAUCCGGAUUUACUGGGUUUAAAGGGUGCGUAGGCGGCGCGGUAAGUCGGGUGUGAAAUCUCGGGGCUUAACUCCGAAACUGCAUUCGAUACUGCCGUGCUUGAGGACUGGAGAGGAGACUGGAAUUUACGGUGUAGCGGUGAAAUGCGUAGAUAUCGUAAGGAAGACCAGUGGCGAAGGCGGGUCUCUGGACAGUUCCUGACGCUGAGGCACGAAGGCCAGGGGAGCAAACGGG